GUGGGGAAUCUUGCGCAAUGGGCGAAAGCCUGACGCAGCCAUGCCGCGUGAAUGAUGAAGGUCUUAGGAUUGUAAAAUUCUUUCACCGGGGACGAUAAUGACGGUACCCGGAGAAGAAGCUCCGGCUAACUUCGUGCCAGCAGCCGCGGUAAUACGAAGGGGGCUAGCGUUGCUCGGAAUUACUGGGCGUAAAGGGCGCGUAGGCGGACAGCUUAGUCAGAGGUGAAAGCCCAGGGCUCAACCUUGGAAUUGCCUUUGAUACUGGCUGUCUUGAGUUUGGGAGAGGUGAGUGGAACUCCGAGUGUAGAGGUGAAAUUCGUGGAUAUUCGGAAGAACACCAGUGGCGAAGGCGACUCACUGGCCCAAUACUGACGCUGAGGCGCGAAAGCGUGGGGAGCAAACAGGAUUAGAAACCCGGGUAGUCC
rnacentral:rRNA from 1 species